UACGAGAGGCCCAAACGUUAUUCGGAUUUACUGGGCUUAAAGAGUUCGUAGGCGGUGCAGAUAGUGGGGUGUGAAAGCCCUCGGCUCAACCGAGGAAUUGCGCUCCAAACUCCUGUACUCGAGGAAGCUAGAGGUGAGCAGAACUGAUGGUGGAGCGGUGAAAUGCGUAGAUAUCUGGAGGAACACCGGUGGCGAAGGCGGCAUCCUGGACCAAUACUGACGCUGAGGAGCGAAAGCCAGGGGAGCAAACGGG
rnacentral:rRNA from 1 species